AUUGAACGCUGGCGGCAGGCCUAACACAUGCAAGUCGAGCGGAUGAAAGGGGCUUGCUCCUGGAUUCAGCGGCGGACGGGUGAGUAAUGCGCAGGAAUCUACCUCGUAGUGGGGGAUAACGUCUCGAAAGGGGCGCUAAUACCGCAUACGUUCUGAGGAAGAAAGCAGGGGACCUUCGGGCCUUGCGCUAUGAGAUGAGCUUGCGUCCGAUUAGCUAGUUGGUGGGUAAAGGCCUACCAAGGCGACGAUCGGUAACUGGUCUGAGAGGAUGAUCAGUCACACUGGAACUGAGACACGGUCCAGACUCCUACGGGAGGCAGCAGUGGGGAAUAUUGGACAAUGGGGGGCAACCCUGAUCCAGCCAUGCCGCGUGUGUGAAGAAGGCC
rnacentral:rRNA from 1 species